AAUAUUGGACAAUGGGGGCAACCCUGAUCCAGCCAUGCCGCGUGUGUGAAGAAGGUCUUCGGAUUGUAAAGCACUUUAAGUUGGGAGGAAGUGCUUUAGUUUAAUACCCUGAAGUUUUGACGUUACCGGCUGAAUAAGCCCCUGCUAAUCCUGUCCCAGCAGCCUCGGUAAUACUGAGGGUGCAAGCGUUAAUCGGAAUUACUGGGCGUAAAGCGCGCGUAGGUGGUUCAGUAAGAUAGGUGUGAAAUCCCCGGGCUUAACCUGGGAACUGCUUUCAUAACUGCUGAGCUAGAGUACGGUAGGGGGUAGUGGAAUUUCCUGUGUAGCGGUGAAAUGCGUAGAUAUAGGAAGGAACACCAGUGGCGAAGGCGACUACCUGGACUGAUACUGACACUGAGGUGCGAAAGCAUGGGGAGCAAACAG
rnacentral:rRNA from 1 species